GACGAACGCUGGCGGCGUGCCUAAUACAUGCAAGUCGAACGAGCGGCGGACGGGUGAGUCAUGUAUGGGGACUGCCCGAGAGAGGGGGAUAACUACUGGAAACGGUGGCUAAUACCGCAUACUAGAGGAUAACCCAUAUGGGAGUAGCUAGUAGGUGGGGUAAAGGCUCACCUAGAGGAAGAUCUCUAGCUGGGCUGAGAGGAUGAACAGCCACACUGGGACUUAGACACGGCCCAGACUCCUACGGAGGAAGCAGUGGGGAAGAUUGCACAAUGGGCGCAAGCAUGAGUCAGCCAUGCCGCGUGUAUGAAGAAGGCCGUAGGGUUGUAAAGUACUUUCAGCGGGGAGGCGUUACCCGCAGAAGAAGCACAGGCUAACUCCGUGCCAGCAGCCGCGGUAAUAC
rnacentral:rRNA from 1 species